rnacentral:rRNA from 1 species
CAGCCGCCGCGGUAAUACGAGGGGGGCAAGCGUUGUUCGGAAUUAUUGGGCGUAAAGGGCGCGUAGGCGGUUUGGCAAGUUUGGUGUGAAAUCUUCGGGCUCAACUCGAAGUCUGCAUCGAAAACUGCCGGGCUUGAGUAUGGGAGAGGUGAGUGGAAUUUCCGGUGUAGCGGUGAAAUGCGUAGAUAUCGGAAGGAACACCUGUGGCGAAAGCGGCUCACUGGACCAUUACUGACGCUGAGGCGCGAAAGCUAGGGGGGCAAACAGGAUUAGAUACCCGAGUAGUCCCUGUCUCUUAUAC